CGCAACUUGGGCACCCUCGUACCGCAACUUUCCGCAACCUCGCACCUCGUACCGCAACUUUCCGCAACCUCGCACCCUCGUACCGCAACUUUCCGCAACCUCAGCACACCCGUACCGCAACUUUCCGCAACCUCGGCACACCCGUUCCGCAUAAGUCCGCAACCUCGGCACCCCCGUACCGCAAUUUUCCGCAACUUGGGCACUCUCGUACCGCAUAAGUCCGCAACUUGGCACCUCGUACCGCAACUUUCCGCAACCUCGGCACCCCGUACCGCAAUUUUCCGCAACCUCGGCCCACCCGUACCGCAACUUUCCGCAACCUCGGCCCACCCGUACCGCAACUUUCCGCAACCUCGGCACCCCCGUACCGCAAUUUUCCGCAACGUCGGCCCACCCGUACCGCAAUUUCCGCAACGUCGGCCACCCGUACCGCAACUUUCCGCAACUCGGCACCACCCGUACCGCAACUUUCCGCAACCUCGGCACCCCCGUACCGCAACUUUCCGCAACCUCGGCCACCCGUACCGCAACUUUCCGCAACCUCGGCACACCGUACCGCAACUUUCCGCAACCUCGGCACACCCCGUACCGCAACUUUCCGCAACCUCGGCACCCUCGUUACCGCAUAAGUCCGCAACCUCGGCACCCUCGUACCGCAUAAGUCCGCAACCUCGGCACCCUCGUACCGCAUAAGUCCGCAACCUCGGCACCCUCGUACCGCAUAAGUCCGCAACCUCGGCACCCUUGUACCGCUAAAGUCCGCAACCUCGGCACCCUCGUUCCGCAUAAGUCCGCAACUUGGCACCCUCGUACCGCAACUUUCCGCAACUUGGGCACUCUCGUACCGCAACUUUCCGCAACUUGGGCACUCUCGUACCGCAACUUUCCGCAACUUGGGCACCCUCGUACCGCAACUUUCCGCAACUUGGGCACCCUCGUACCGCAUAAUUCCGCAACCUCGGCACCCUCGUUCCGCAUAAGUCCGCAACCUCGGCACCCUCGUACCGCAUAAUUCCGCAACCUCGGCACCCUCGU
rnacentral:rRNA from 1 species